CAGAAAGGGAUGCGUCUGUCCGCCCGGCUCUAGCAGCACGUAAAUACUGGAGUCUAGGAUGAUACAUUUGCCCUCCAGUAUUGCUUUGCUGCUUUAAUCGGGUUUGAUGUUGGCACCAGCCGGGCA
rnacentral:precursor_RNA from 11 species